rnacentral:rRNA from 1 species
GUGCACCAGGCGAGAAUUUUUCUCAAUGGGGGCAACCCUGAAGGAGCGACGCCGCGUGGAGGAUGAAGGCUUUCGGGUUGUAAACUCCUGUCAUUUGAGAACAAGUGUAGCCAAGUAACUACUGGCUACUUGAUAGUAUCAGAAGAGGAAGGGACGGCUAACUCUGUGCCAGCAGCCGCGGUAAUACAGAGGUCCCAAGCGUUGUUCGGAUUCAUUGGGCGUAAAGGGUGCGUAGGUGGCGCCGUAAGUGGGGUGUGAAAUUUCGGAGCUUAACUCCGAAACUGCAUUCCAUACUGCGGUGCUUGAGGACUGGAGAGGAGACUGGAAUUCAUGGUGUAGCAGUGAAAUGCGUAGAGAUCAUGAGGAAGACAGUGGCGAAGGCGGUCUCUGGACAGUUCCUGACACUGAGGCACGAAGGCCAGGGAGCGAACGGGAUUAGAUACCCCUGUAGU